GACGAACGCUGGCGGCGUGCUUAACACAUGCAAGUCGAACGGAAAGGCCCUGCUUUUGUGGGGUGCUCGAGUGGCGAACGGGUGAGUAACACGUGAGUAACCUGCCCUUGACUUUGGGAUAACUUCAGGAAACUGGGGCUAAUACCGGAUAGGAGCUCCUGCUGCAUGGUGGGGGUUGGAAAGUUUCGGCGGUUGGGGAUGGACUCGCGACUUAUCAGCUUGUUGGUGGGGUAGUGGCUUACCAAGGCUUUGACGGGUAGCCGGCCUGAGAGGGUGACCGGCCACAUUGGGACUGAGAUACGGCCCAGACCCCUACGGGAGGCAGCAGUGGGGAAUAUUGCACAAUGGGCGGAAGCCUGAUGCAGCAACGCCGCGUGCGGGAUGACGGCCUUCGGGUUGUAAACCGCUUUCGCCUGUGACGAAGCGUGAGUGACGGUAAUGGGUAAAGAAGCACCGGCUAACUACGUG
rnacentral:rRNA from 1 species